rnacentral:rRNA from 1 species
UACAGAGGGUGCAAGCGUUAAUCGGAAUUACUGGGCGUAAAGCGUGCGUAGACGGCUAUCUAAGUCGGGUGUGAAAGCCCCGGGCUCAACCUGGGAAUUGCAUUCGAGACUGAAUAGCUAGGGUACGGUAGAGGGAAGCGGAAUUUCCGGUGUAGCGGUGAAAUGCGUAGAGAUCGGGCGGAACACCAGCGGCGAAGGCGGUCUGCUGGGCAGUUUCUGACACUGAGGCGCGACAGCGUGGGGGAGCAAACAGG